rnacentral:rRNA from 1 species
AUGGUUUUCCCAAGAAGGGGAAGGAUCUGUGUCGAUGCUGACAGUGUUCAGAGGGUAUUUGAUCUCCCAAACAGGGGUCAAAAAGUCAGAUAUUUAGUUGACAAGGAUGCCACUAGGAGAUUCAGACAGGCUUUCAACAUAACUGGAAAUUCUCAUCCCCAGAUCACUACAUGGCUCAAGAUGAUUCAGGAUAUGGCUGGAAGAACGGAUGACACAUUCUUUAUGGCCUGGCUUGCGAUUGCCUUCAGCACUUUUCUAGCACCAACCACGGCCUUGAAGCUCAGCCCAAAGUGUUAUGGACUUGUGCUAGAUCAUCAAAUGCUAAAGAAUACAAACAUCUGCCUCUUUGUAGCAGAAUACAUUAACGAAGCUUUCCAGAACAUGGACCAGGAGAAGCAAACUGUCUGCUGCUGCUUGUAUCACUUGAUGGUGAUCAAGAAGGAUACUAUCUCUCCUGGUGUGUUCGGCAAAUUACAACUUAAAGAGGAGUAUAGAGGCACGGAGCAGACACCACUGUUUGAUGGAAUUUUGCAAGCUGAAGCAUUCAUGGCAUCCAAGUUACCAAUAACCUACAAUCUGCAGGUUGGCACCUUCAUUGAAGCAGUUGCCAAGAUCGAUGACGAGGAACCAGAUAUUGAUCCUUACGUACAGCAGCCAUCAAUGCAAACUGGGGCGUCACGCCGUGCUCCAAAAAGAAAGAGACGGGGGUCAACUAUACAAGAAAAAGAAGAGUUUGUUGAGGAUGAGUCAGAAGAAGAUGAGGAAAUGGAAGCAGCGAUAGAUGCUGACGACGACGAGGACACAUAUGCGAAUGAAUCAGAGGAGGAGGACAAGGAUGAGGAUGACAAUGAAGAAGAUGCAGAGGAGGAGGAGGACGAAGAGGAAGAGGAGAAGGAGGAGGAGGAGGACAAAUAA